CUCAUCUCUUUCACUGGGCCCUUGACUCAAUCAUUCAAAACUCAUCAACUGUCAUUCCAUUCUACCUAAACUUAUCGUAAACUAUCCAAAAGACGACUCCUAUCUUAUGGGCUGUUCCCCAAGACCAACACUAUCUUGGGAAUUCCUUUCGUUCUGUUGGAAACACGUUAUGGCACUUCCCGUUGAAAUGAACAAGGCUGAUACCGCGCGUAAUUGAUUUGAAUAGGGUUGAACCGGUUAAACCCUAUCGAUUACGCCUGUUUUCAAUAUCUCCUGUGGGUCUGCUGUGAACGCGCGCCUGGUUAUGUUUCACAGUUUAUUUUCGCCCUGAUAUCGCGGUCAACUUCAGACAGCACUAGUCUGCAUUUGAUUAAUCAAAAUCAAAACGUAAACAAAAUAUCCACUAGGUAUCUCGAACCCUUUUUUUUUAAGUAUAGGCAAAUUUCAGAGGAUAGAAGCAACGGAGCAACCUGGAGAAACUAAUUUCUUCGGAACACUUAUCGACAAAAGGCAAAAGGGAGAAUCCACGACCACUUUGAUGCACCAAGGAACAAGCGAAGUCCUUUGCUGGAGCUACUAUUUUUAUUUAUCCUGGCUUCAAAUGGGAAGCCGGCCAUACUCCUAGUGGCUUACCGUCCAAAUCAUGGAGCUCAUAAGACGACGACCCUUUUACUUUGGUGACCCGAGCUGUUUUUUUUUAUCUAGCAUUGCGUGAAAGUUCGUCGACAAGAAACAAAUAUUGUUAUCGUAUUUUUGGUAACAAAUGUUUAAACACCUACGCCUACUAAAGGAGUGUUAUUAUUUGUAAAAUUAUAAUAGUGUAGUGUGUGCUCCGGGAAAACAACACAGGAUCGGAUUAUGUAUAUGUAUACCGUGUGGCCGGGGAAAAGAUAAUGUGAACAACCAGAUGCAGAAAGAUUUGGCCAAGCUGGGAAGCAAGUAUUAUCGACUGGCCAAGAGUGAAAGUAGAAGAUCAAAGUAUAAUGUUUUGGGGGGAGUGCUUGAGAAUUAUCGACUCAGUCAGAAGUAACUUCGUUCUAAAGUGACAAUAUACCCGACGUAGCUGGUAAACCUUGGAGCACCUUCAAACGAUUUACCAAAGGACAAAUUCGGAUGACAAGAUUGACAAGUCGUCUACGAUACCCAGAUCAUCGCUUAGGUCCAGUAGAAGAAAAGCGCCGUCUUGGUAUUAAACGCGCAACACGGGUUUUCCGCAUGCACAAGAAACUAUCUCCGCUCAAUCCACAAGCUUGAAGUAAUUGACCAACUAUGAUAAUGCCAUCGAACUUAUUACCGUCAAAGAUAUACUAUAUACUGCCAGGAGAACGGCAGAUCAGCUUUGGACUUACACUACAUAUGCACGAGAAUGAUGGCGAUCUGAAGAAGAGUAAGGAUCGUUCAUCGAUGAAAUAGAUGACCCCGGAAUCGCUUGCGAACCACAUCCUGUUCGUUUCUAUUGCUCGGAUGAUCCAAAACUGCGACCAUCGUACAAAUAUUCGGCUGUCCGAUUUGAACAGAAGCUGCACCGCACAGUAUGGAACAAAAUUUCACUUCAAAUCGGGUGCAUUGCAAUAAAAUACUAUGAAACCGUCAUGGAAAGUCUCUGGACACCGUCCCAUUGGUCCCAGUAUGCGCCGGCUAGCGAUAUCAACACCAUGCCACUACCGAAGGCCGAAGUGGCCUGUGUGGUAUAUAAGAGUCUUCUCCAUUCGGCUCGGCCCAUGGCUACACGUUGCCAACCACGCAGUCUACGGAGGGUCCGCAAGUCAUCUUCGGUCAAUAAUAACUAGUUACAUAAAAUGUUUUUGUGUAUUUCUAUAAAACGAAUAAUUUUAGCUGUAAAUAUCAAAUUAAAUCAUAUGAAAUCAAUUUGACAACACGAAAUGCGUUUUUUAGUUUUAUUAUAACACUUUCUACAAUAAUGUCAAUUUAUCCAUCAUUAUAAUAAUGUGAACAUAAUUAUUACUAUAAAGUCAUAUAAUAAACGAUAGCUACCUUGCCUUAUAUGGCGAUGUUACCCCACUUACUCCUAAUAAAAAAAUAAAGCGAAAGAAUGGCUGCAGAUUAUGUUUAUGUGAACCUUUCACGUUUCCAAUGAGAAUGAAUGAAUUACACCCAGGUUUUUUUUUACACGGUUGAAAUUCUUUAAUUUCUCGGUUAACCCGAACAUUCACAGCUUU